AGAUUGAACGCUGGUCGGCGUAUGCCUAACCACAUGCAAGGUCGAGCGGGCAGCGCGGGGGGCAACCCUGGCGGCGAGCGGCGGAACGGGUGAGUAAGGCAUCGGAAUCUGCCCUGAUGUGGGGGAUAACGUAGGGGAAACUUACGUCUAAUACCGCAUACGACCGAGGAGGUGAAAGCGGGGGACCGAAAGGCCUCGCGCAGCAGGAUGAGCCGAUGUCCGAUUAGCUGGUUGUUGGGG
rnacentral:rRNA from 1 species